GGUUUGAUUCUGGCUCAGAUUGAACGCUUGGCAGGAUGCUUUACAUGCAAGUCGAACGGCAGCACGGACUUCGGUCUGGUGGCGAGUGGCGAACGGGUGAGUAAUGUAUCGGAACGUGCCUAGUAGCGGGAAUAACUACGCGAAAGCGUAGCUGUAUACCGCAUACGCCCUUCGAGAAAAGCAGGGGACCUUCGGGCCUCUCCACUAUUAGAAGCAGCCGAUAUCGGAUUAGCUAGUUGGUGGGAGUAACGGCUCACCAAGGCGACGAUCCGUAGCUGGUUUGAGAGGACGACCAGCCACACUGG
rnacentral:misc_RNA from 1 species